CGUUAAGCCAGUGUGGUGAAUAACAACUGCCAUCAUGGUAACUUACUACAGUAUUUUCUAAGGCUGCACACAAAUUUGCCGAUAUGUGUUUCACUUACGGGAUGUAAUAUGUGUAAUGUGCUAUUGAUGUCUAUUAGAAAUACAUAUAAUAGUGAGAAGGCACUUCAACCAGAAAUAGUUGCUAUUUCUUGUAAUCAGAAAGACCAGAAGAACAGUAAGGACACCUAUGGAGUGUUCUUGUUUUCAAGACUCUGAAAGCUGACCCUAGAAGAAUCGAAUAGUUAGGAUCCUCUCCAAAGAAGUUAUUGCAGACACUCCUAGAUGCAGCUUUCUCUGCUGAUGUAAAAGAAAGCAUCUGUCCUUCAAUGGAAUUACCUGGAAAUGAAAUCAAGGGGCAGAGUCCAGUACCUCUAAAUCUACAUCAGAACUUUCCACAAGUCCAAGGGCUGAAGUUUAUUCACUCAACUCAGAAAACUAUUGCAUGAUAAAGUCUGGACAAUGCUGGACUAUACAAAAUUAUACAGAUUUCCUAACUUGAGGACCUUCUGGAAUCUUUAAUAUAAAUGCGGUCAAUAGAUUCCAAAUUAUGGAAUUGGUUAAGCAGAGGCAAGCCACAGCAGUGUGAGGAUUCUCCCAUUCAGGACUAAUAGUACCUGAUGAGGAUGUUUCUAGAGAUGGUGGGACCAGGAAAGAAAAUUGUUCUGCUGGCCUCAACUGUAAAUGUGUCCUGCCUUGGAGAUGUACCCCUCUCGUGUGUUGGCAAGUUCUGUACACGGGCUUGGAAGAGGGAAAUGACAAAGUCACAUUUACAUUUUAGAUGCAUCAUCCUGGGGGCGUAUGGAAGAUGUAUAUGAAUAUGGCAGGACUGGAGGCAGAGACAAAGGUGAGGAGAACUCGGCACAGAAAGGUCAAAUAAUGAAUAUUUGACACAGUUGCGACUAGACUCCAAAACCACGUCAUUUCAACCUAUCUACAGUCUUUCCCUUAUGGUUUACCUACUCACUUAGUUGCUGCAAUGGUCAUAAACAGAAUGUACUUCAGAGAAAGGACCCAGAAUUCUCUCAGGUUGGAGAUAAGCCUGAGAAGUGAUUGGAAUGUCUUCUUUAUCAUCAAAAGGGCAGCAUGGAACCGUUGUUAAGACCAUAACUGUUCAAAGUCACUUCAAGACAAGAAUCAUCAGGUACAGGAACAAGAGGACUUGGUACCACCGAAGGUCUUUCAGUAGAGAGCUGGUGGCUAGUGAAGCUGUACGCUUGGAACUCUUUUCCUGAGGACUACACAAAAUAGAAAAC
rnacentral:lncRNA from 1 species